rnacentral:rRNA from 1 species
GACGGAGGGUGCAAGCGUUGUUCGGAAUCACUGGGCGUAAAGGGUGCGUAGGCGGGUCUUUAAGUCAGGGGUGAAAUCCUGGAGCUCAACUCCAGAACUGCCUUUGAUACUGAAGAUCUUGAGUUCGGGAGAGGUGAGUGGAACUGCGAGUGUAGAGGUGAAAUUCGAUAGAUAUUCGCAAGAACACCAGUGGCGAAGGCGGCUCACUGGCCCGAUACUGACGCUGAGGCACGAAAGCGUGGGGAGCAAACAGG